GUUUUGCGUUAACGAUAGGAGCGGCAGCUUUUUUUGCAAUUGUCAAUUAGCAAAUGCAAAAAAACUACAGCGGAUAGCGUGUUAAAAC
rnacentral:sRNA from 1 species